rnacentral:rRNA from 1 species
AACGAACGCUGGCGGCAGGCCUAACACAUGCAAGUCGAACGAGCUGACAGCUUCGGUCUGCGCUGCUAGUGGCGCACUGGUGGGUAACACGUGGGUAUAUCCGCUUUUGUACUGAAUAACCAAGGGAAACUUUGGCUCAUACCGUAUACGCGCUUCCGGCGUACGGUUUAUCGCUAUAGGAUUAGCCCGCUUCUGAUUAGGUAGUUGCUGAGGUAAUGUCUCACCAAGCGGAGGAUCAGGACCUGGGCUGAGAGGAUGGGUCGACACACUGGGACUGAGAAGCGGCCGAGAAUAUUACGCGAGGGGGGAGUGGGGGAUAUUGGAAAAUGGCGGCAACCAUGAUGCAGCCAGGCCGCGUGAGUGAAGAAGGCGUGAGAGUUGUAAAGCACUUUAGACGGGGACGAUGAUGACGGUACCCGUAGAAGAAGCCCCGGCAAACUUCGUG